rnacentral:rRNA from 1 species
CAGCACCUCAAGUGGUCAGGAUGAUUAUUGGGCCUAAAGCAUCCGUAGCCGGCGCUGUAAGUUUUCGGUUAAAUCUGUACGCUCAACGUACAGGCUGCCGGGAAUACUGCAGCGCUAGGGAGUGGGAGAGGUAGACGGUACUCGGUAGGAAGGGGUAAAAUCCUUUGAUCUAUUGAUGACCACCUGUGGCGAAGGCGGUCUACCAGAACACGUCCGACGGUGAGGGAUGAAAGCUGGGGAGCAAACCGGAUUAGAUACCCGAGUAGUCC